rnacentral:rRNA from 1 species
CAUUAUUGAAUAAACCUGAUGUGGCUGUUAGCUGGCUUUUCGAAGCAUGUGCUCGCCCGUCAUCUUUAUCUCUCCACCUGUGCACAUUUUGUAGUCUUUCGAUAUCUCUCGAGGCAACUCGGAUUUUAGAAUCGUCGUGCUGUACAAGUCGGCUUUUCUUUCCUUUCCAAGACUAUGUUUUUAUAUACACCAAAGUAUGUUUAAAGAAUGUCAUCAAUAGGAACUUGUUUCCUAUAAAAUCAUACAACUUUCAGCAACGGAUCUCUUGGCUCUCGCAUCGAUGAAGAACGCAGCGAAAUGCGAUAAGUAAUGUGAAUUGCAGAAUUCAGUGAAUCAUCGAAUCUUUGAACGCACCUUGCGCUCCUUGGUAUUCCGAGGAGCAUGCCUGUUUGAGUGUCAUUAAAUUCUCAACCUUCCAACUUUUAUUAGCUUGGUUAGGCUUGGAUGUGGGGGUUGUGGGCUUCAUUAAUGAGGUCGACUCUCCUUAAAUGCAUUAGCAGAACUUUUGUGGACCGUCUAUUGGUGUGAUAAUUAUCUACGCCGUGGAUGUGAAGCAACUUUAUGAAGUUCAGCUUCUAACCGUCCAUUAAUUUGGACAAUUUUGAAAAUUUGACCUCAAAUCAGGUAGGACUACCCGCUGAACUU